rnacentral:tRNA from 2 species
GGUUGUGUAGUGUAGUGGUUAUCACUUUGGAUUUUGACCUGGUGUCACAUUUCCAAUAACCCCGGUUCGAACCCGGGCACGACCU